UUUAUUCCCCCUGCCUACAAAUGCAUUGCCUGUGGUUGGGUAUGCUGCCACCAAGUGGUUAUAGCCAAAGACCCAGGCUGCAGCUACCAGGAAGUAAGAGCCCUUGUAAACUUUUAACAAAGUGAAAUCUUGUAACAGCCUUGUCUUGCCCACAAAGGGAAAAUCUGAAGUUGUUUUGUCUCUGCUCUUACACAUGUCUGCAUAUCACCACCACCACCACCACCACCACCACCACCAUUAGCUCUGCCUCUGGGCCGGUCACUGAGAGUGCAGUGGCGCGAUCUCGGCUCACUGCAACCUCUGCUUCCUGGGUUCAGGCAAUACUGAGAUGAGUAUUUUAAUGCAUCAUGCCAUUUGGUUCUUAGAACUACCCUCAGGGAGGUGAUGCAAUGAGCCCCAUUUUCCAGACAAGGAAACAGAGGCUGGGAGGUCAAGUGACUUCCCAAGGUCACAGAGAGAGACAGUGGCUGGGCUAGGAUUUGACCCCAAGUCUACCUGACAUCAAAGCCAUGACAAAAGUCUCCCACUUGGGCACCUGGGUGUAUGUCUGGGAUUGGUGUGUGUCGGUGUGGAUGGCGGGAGUUGGGUAGACAGGGUGGUGGGGUACCAAGGAAUGGUCUGGAGCAUGGAAUUUCAGAGGAAUCAGAAGUAGAGACCCUCAUGGUGAGGACCUGCAUUCUGGGAAGCUGCUGACAGUUCAGAGCCCAAAGAGGAGGUCAGAGGAAUCCUGGGGUUGAUCCUCUUUCUAGCUUCAGGGCGUCUGGUGACAUCUGGGCACGGGAGCAAGGUUGGAUUCUACCCUUAGACGGCAGGUCCGCUGCGAAGGAGGAGCUGGGCUUGGGGUUUGGGAGUGGGUAGUGGGGCUCCUCUGGACUUCAGUGGGACAGGGAGG
rnacentral:lncRNA from 10 species